CGUCACAGUCUAGAGCCUCGGAGAAGGAGCAAAGGACCUCAGACCUGUCCACCUCAGAGGAAGCUUCCUGCCAGAGUUGUCAGCGGGACUCUGCAGAAGAGUAGGGAAUGAGGAAGGGGUGUGACUGGAAACUGCUGCCUCCCUCACCAUUGCUCAAGUCAGGACUCCUCCCCGAGGCUGUGGCGAUGUGGUGUGAUGCUGGGGCACCUUGACAGCUGACUGUGGAGUCUCUGAACUUUCAGACAAGCUUGAGAGCUGGAGGCUUACUUGUGCCUUAGGUAAAAUUAUCCCAGGAAAGUUGUUUGCUUUGUUUCAUUUUGGGUUGGUUUUUUUUUUGGGGGGGGGGGUCUGGUUAAAUUCAAUAAAUAUCACCAAACAGGGAGUGGGGAAGGACGAAAGAGAAAGAAUGAAUAAAGGAUCAGGAGUAUCAUGGCAGGUGGGCCCUGUUGGGACCCGCUGAGGACAUUGGCUCCAGG
rnacentral:lncRNA from 1 species